rnacentral:rRNA from 1 species
GACGAACGCUGGCGGCGUGCUUAACACAUGCAAGUCGAACGGAAAGGCCUCUUUCGGGGGGUACUCGAGUGGCGAACGGGUGAGUAACACGUGAGUAACCUGCCCUUGACUUUGGGAUAACUUCAGGAAACUGGGGCUAAUACCGGAUAGGAGCUCCUGCUGCAUGGGGGGGGUGGGAGAGUUUCGGCGGUUUGGGAUUGGCUCGCGGCUUAUCAGCUUGUUGGUGGGGGAGUGGCUUACCAAGGCGUUGACGGGGAGCCGGCCUGGGAGGGUGACCGGCCACCUUGGGGCUGGGAUUCGGCCCAGGCUCCUACGGGGGGCAGCAGUGGGGAAUAUUGCACAAUGGGUGGGAGCCUGAUGCCGCAACGCCGUGUGCGGGAAGACGGCCUUCGGGUUGUAAACCGCUUUCGCUCAUGACGAAGCUUUGUGUGACGGUAGUGGGUAAAGAAGCACCGGCUAACUACGUG